UACAACUUUCAACAACGGAUCUCUUGGCUCUCGCAUCGAUGAAGAACGCAGCGAAAUGCGAUAAGUAAUGUGAAUUGCAGAAUUCAGUG
rnacentral:rRNA from 1 species